UAUUUUAGAUUUUAUAAAAAGUUUAGCCAGAUGUUGUGGUGCACCUGUAGUCCCAUCUACACAGGAGGCUGAGGCAAGAGGAUCAAUUAAACCCAAGAGGUCGAGACCAGCCUGAGAAACGUGAGAUCCUGUCUCAAACAAAUAGUUUACUGUAAAACAUCACGUGGUAUCUUACUGAGUCUCUUGAUUGCAUCAAGAGGCUGAAUCCAGUGAUUGACCUGUACCAUUGAAGUUUGUAAAACCUGGGCCUGCCACACCGAGUUUAUGGACAGUUCCACAGCUAUGAACCAGCGCAUCUGUAGAGGAAUGGAAGAGAACAAGGAAAGGCCUAAACGGCAGAGGCAGAACAACUUUCCCAUGUUUCCCUCUCCCAAAGCUUGGAACUUCAGAGGGGUGUGACCCCUCACACUCCUCGAAGUAGGACCCUACUCUGCCA
rnacentral:lncRNA from 1 species